GACGUAGGGCGCGAGCGUUGUCCGGAUUUAUUGGGCGUAAAGAGCUCGUAGGCGGCUUGUCGCGUCGACUGUGAAAUCCCGCGGCUCAACUGCGGGUCUGCAGUCGAUACGGGCAGACUAGAGGCAGGUAGGGGAGAAUGGAAUUCCCGGUGUAGCGGUGAAAUGACGCAGAUAUCGGGAGGAACACCGGUGGCGAAGGCGGUUCUCUGGGCCUGAACUGACGGCUGAGGAGCGAAAGCCAGGGGAGCAAACGGG
rnacentral:rRNA from 1 species